rnacentral:tRNA from 3 species
GCUCGGUUAGUCAAGUGGUCAAAGACCUCCGACUUUCUAUCGGAUAACAUGGGUUCGAAUCCCAUACCGAGUA